rfam:Dipodomys ordii contig_51335, whole genome shotgun sequence.
GGUGACUCAGUGGUAGAGUGCUUGCCUUGCAUGCAUGAGGCCCUGGGUUCGAUUCCCCAGCACCA